rnacentral:rRNA from 1 species
GCUGAAGCACCAGCUUGCUGGUGUGGAUGAGUGGCGAACGGGUGAGUAAUACGUGAGUAACCUGCCCUUGACUCUGGGAUAAGCCCGGGAAACUGGGUCUAAUACUGGAUGCUACAUGUCACCGCAUGGUGGUGUGUGGAAAGGGUUUACUGGUCUUGGAUGGGCUCACGGCCUAUCAGCUUGUUGGUGAGGUAAUGGCUCACCAAGGCGACGACGGGUAGCCGGCCUGAGAGGGUGACCGGCCACACUGGGACUGAGACACGGCCCAGACUCCUACGGGAGGCAGCAGUGGGGAAUAUUGCACAAUGGGCGAAAGCCUGAUGCAGCGACGCCGCGUGAGGGAUGACGGCCUUCGGGUUGUAAACCUCUUUCAGCAGGGAAGAAGCCACAAGUGACGGUACCUGCAGAAGAAGCGCCGGCUAACUACGUGCCAGCAGCCGCGGUAAUACGUAGGGCGCAAGCGUUGUCCGGAAUUAUUGGGCGUAAAGAGCUCGUAGGCGGUUUGUCGCGUCUGCUGUGAAAGCCCGGGGCUUAACCCCGGGUGUGCAGUGGGUACGGGCAGACUAGAGUGCAGUAGGGGAGACUGGAAUUCCUGGUGUAGCGGUGGAAUGCGCAGAUAUCAGGAGGAACACCGAUGGCGAAGGCAGGUCUCUGGGCUGUUACUGACGCUGAGGAGCGAAAGCAUGGGGAGCGAACAGGAUUAGAUACCCUGGUAGUCCAUGCCGUAAACGUUGGGCACUAGGUGUGGGGGACAUUCCACGUUUUCCGCGCCGUAGCUAACGCAUUAAGUGCCCCGCCUGGGGAGUACGGCCGCAAGGCUAAAACUCAAAGGAAUUGACGGGGGCCCGCACAAGCGGCGGAGCAUGCGGAUUAAUUCGAUGCAACGCGAAGAACCUUACCAAGGCUUGACAUAUACCGGAUCGUUCCAGAGAUGGUUCUUCCCCUUUGGGGUCGGUAUACAGGUGGUGCAUGGUUGUCGUCAGCUCGUGUCCUUGAGAUGUUGGGUUAAGUCCCGCAACGACCGCAACCCUCGUUCCAUGUUGCC